rnacentral:rRNA from 1 species
AGAGUUUGAUCCUGGCUCAGAACGAACGCUGGUGGCGUGUUUUAUACAUGCAAGUCGAGCGAGGACGGUAGCAAUACCGAGCCGAGCGGCGAACGGGUGAGUAACGCGUAAGCAAUCUGCCCCACAAUCGGGAACAACCGUGCCAACGCGCGGCUAAUGCCGGAUAUUGUAGUCUACUGCAUAGUAGGCCAACGAAAGAUUUAUUGUUGUGGGAUGAGCUUGCGUCCGAUUAGCUAGUUGGCGGGGUAAUAGCCCACCAAGGCGACGAUCGGUAGCCGGCCUGAGAGGAUGGUCAGCCACACUGGGACUGAGAUACUGCCCAGACUCCUACGGGAGGCUGCAGUCGAGAAUCAUUCGCAAUGGGCGAAAGCCUGACGGUGCGACGUCGCGUGGAGGAUGAAGGUCUUCGGAUUGUAAACUCCUGUCAUGAGGGAUAAAUAGCCAGGGCAAUAAUACUGCCUUGGAAUGAUAGUACCUCAGGAGGAAGAGACGGCUAACUCUGUGCCAGCAGCCGCGGUAAUACAGAGGUCUCAAGCGUUGUUCGGAUUUACUGGGCGUAAAGGGAGCGUAGGCGGUUUGGUAUGUCGAAUGUGAAAGCCCACAACUCAACUGUGGAAAUGCAUUCGAAACUGCCGGACUAGAGUACUGGAGAGGAGAGCGGAAUUCUUGGUGUAGCGGUGAAAUGCGUAGAUAUCAAGAGGAACACCGGUGGCGAAGGCGGCUCUCUGGACAGAUACUGACGCUGAGGCUCUAAAGUUAGGGGAGCAAACAGGAUUAGAUACCCUGGUAGUCCUAACCAUAAACGGUGUACACUUGGUGUGCGAGGAAUUGUCCCUUUGCGCGCCGGAGCUAACGCGUUAAGUGUACCGCCUGGGGAGUACGGUCGCAAGAUUAAAACUCAAAGGAAUUGACGGGGACCCGCACAAGCGGUGGAGCAUGUGGCUUAAUUUGAUGCAACGCGAAGAACCUUACCUGGACUUGACAUGCAAGUAGUAGAACCCUGAAAGGGGGACGAUCCCGCGCAAGCGGGAAGCUUGCACAGGUGCUGCAUGGCUGUCAUCAGCUCGUGCCGUGAGGUGUUGGGUUAAGUCCCGCAACGAGCGCAACCCUUGUGAUUAGUUGCCAUUAUUAAGUUAGGCACUCUAGUCAGACUGCCUGUGAUAAGCAGGAGGAAGGUGGGGAUGACGUCAAGUCAGUAUGGUCCUUAUGUCCAGGGCUGCACACGUGCUACAAUGGCCGGUACAGAAGGAAGCAAUACCGCGAGGUGGAGCUAAUCCCCAAAACCGGCCUCAGUUCGGAUUGGAGUCUGCAACCCGACUCCAUGAAGCUGGAAUCGCUAGUAACGGCGCAUCAGCUACGGCGCCGUGAAUACGUUCCCGGGUCUUGCACACACCGCCCGUCA